rnacentral:rRNA from 1 species
GACGAACGCUGGCGGCGUGCUUAACACAUGCAAGUCGAACGGAAAGGCCCUGCUUUUGUGGGGUGCUCGAGUGGCGAACGGGUGAGUAACACGUGAGUAACCUGCCCUUGACUUUGGGAUAACUUCAGGAAACUGGGGCUAAUACCGGAUAGGAGCUCCUGCUGCAUGGUGGGGGUUGGAAAGUUUCGGCGGUUGGGGAUGGACUCGCGGCUUCUCAGCUUGGUGGUGGGGUAGUGGCUUACCAAGGCUUUGACGGGUAGCCGGCCUGAGAGGGUGACCGGCCACAUUGGGACUGAGAUACGGCCCAGACUCCUACGGGAGGCAGCAGUGGGGAAUAUUGCACAAUGGGCGGAAGCCUGAUGCAGCAACGCCGCGUGCGGGAUGAAGGCCUUCGGGUUGUAAACCGCUUUCGCCUGUGACGAAGCGUGAGUGACGGUAAUGGGUAAAGAAGCACCGGCUAACUACGUG